ACUCAAAUGAAUUGACGGGACCCCGCACAAGCGGUGGAGCAUGUGGAUUAAUUCGAUACUAACCGAAGAACCUUACCCAGGUUUGACAUCGAUUGUAACAUCUAGAGAUAGGUGCCUCUUCUCAAAAGGAAGACAUGAAGACACUUGUUGCAUGGCUGUCGUCAGCUCGUGCCGUGAGGUGUACGGUUAAGUCCGCCAACGAGCGCAACCCUCGUUCUAUGUUGCCAGCGGGUAAUGCCGGGAACUCAUAGGAGACUGCCCAUGUAAGUGGGAGGAAGGUGGGGAUGACGUCAAGUCAGCAUGGCAGUUACGCCUGGGGCUUCACACAUGCUACAAUGGGCGAAACAGAGGGCAGCAAUGUCGCGAGACGGAGCUAAUCCCAAAAAUACGUCCUCAGUUCAGAUUGCAGUCUGCAACUCGACUGCAUGAAGGCGGAAUCGCUAGUAAACGCAGGUCAGCUAUACUGCGUUGAAUACGUUCCCGGGGUUUGCACACACCGCCCGU
rnacentral:rRNA from 1 species